UACAGAGGUCCCGAAGCGUUGUUCGGAUUCACUGGGACGUAAAGGGUGCGUAGGCGGUCGGGUAAGUCUGAUGAUGAAAUCCGUCACCGCAGCUUAACAUGUGAACUGCAUUGGAUAGCUAUUCGGCUUGAGAGUUGGAGGGGGACGUGGGAAUUCUCGGUGUAGCAGUGAAAUGCGUAGACUAUCGAGAGGAACACCAGUGGCG
rnacentral:rRNA from 1 species